GUCUACAGUCAUACCACGUUAAAUAAACCACCUCUCGUUCGAUCACUGAAGUUAAACAAUGUUGGGCCAAGUCAGUACCUGGUAGAUAGACCAUCUGGGAACACUCGGUUUCGUAGACA
rnacentral:rRNA from 1 species